ACUUGGCUGGCUCAGUCAGUAGAGCAUGAGACUCUUGAUCUCAGGGUUGUAUGUUCAAACCCUACACUGGGCA
rnacentral:tRNA from 1 species